CGGAUUUUUGCCCGUCAUUUGUUUUGAUUAUAUAAAACUAGUUUAACCGAAAGUAGAAUGAUCAAGAAUGAUCAAGCAUGGUUGACCUCAUGGCUUGACAAAUAAUUUCAUGAAAUGGUGAGUAGUUUAUUACCGUCAUCAAGUCACUUAUCAAAUGUGUAAAUUUUUAAACUUAUAAUAAUCGGAUAUUUCAGGUAAGUAAGAAUGAAGUAUAUUGAAGAGAUCAAAGAAGGAGCUAUUGACCCCUGAUCUUGAUUGAUUUGUAAAUUAUUAAUUGAUUGAUUC
rnacentral:lncRNA from 1 species